CAGCAGCCGCGGGAAUACGUAGGGUGCGAGCGUUAAUCGGAAUUACUGGGCGUAAAGCGUGCGCAGGCGGUUCGUUAAGACAGAUGUGAAAUCCCCGGGCUCAACCUGGGAACUGCAUUUGUGACUGGCGGGCUAGAGUAUGGCAGAGGGGGGUGGAAUUCCGCGUGUAGCAGUGAAAUGCGUAGAUAUGCGGAGGAACACCGACGGCGAAGGCAGCCCCCUGGGCCAAUACUGACGCUCAUGCACGAAAGCGUGGGGAGCAAACAGGAUUAGAUACCCCGGUAGUCCCUGUCUCUUAUAC
rnacentral:rRNA from 1 species